GUAGGGGGCAAGCGUUAUCCGGAUUUACUGGGUGUAAAGGGAGCGUAGGUGGCAUGGCAAGCCAGAAGUGAAAACCCGGGGCUUAACUCCGCGGAUUGCUUUUGGAACUGUCAGGCUGGAGUGCAGGAAGGGCAGGCGGAAUUCCUGGUGUAGCGGUGAAAUGCGUAGAUAUCAGGAGGAACACCGGUGGCGGAGGCGGCCUGCUGGACUGUAACUGACACUGAGGCUCGAAAGCGUGGGGAGC
rnacentral:rRNA from 1 species